UCUACGGGAGGCAGCAGUGGGGAAUAUUGCGCAAUGACGGCCUUCGGGUUGUAAACCUCUUUCAGCAGGGAAGAAGCGAAAGUGACGGUACCUGCAGAAGAAGCACCGGCUAACUACGUGCCAGCAGCCGCGGGGGUGCAAGCGUUGUCCGGAUUUAUUGGGCGUAAAGAGCUCGUAGGCGGUUAGUCACGUCGGCCUGCAUUCGAUACGGGCUGACUAGAGUGUUGUAGGGGAGACUGGAACUCCUGGUGUAGCGGUGAAAUGCGCAGAUAUCAGGAAGAACACCGGUGGCGAAGGCGGGUCUCUGGGCAACUACUGACGCUGAGGAGCGAAAGCGUGGGGAGCAAACAGGAUUAGAUACCCUGGUAGUCCACGCCGUAAACGGUGGGCGCUAGGUGUGGGGAACAUUCCACGUUCUCCGUGCCGCAGCUAACGCAUUAAGCGCCCCGCCUGGGGAGUACGGCCGCAAGGCUAAAACUCAAAGGAAUUGACGG
rnacentral:rRNA from 1 species